rnacentral:rRNA from 1 species
AUUGAACGCUGGCGGCAGGCCUAACACAUGCAAGUCGAGCGGAGCGGCGGCCGUGUGAGUAAUGCCUAGGAAUCUGCCCGGUAGUGGGGGAUAACGUCCGGAAACGGGCGCUAAUACCGCAUCCUCUCACAUGCGCCUAGGUCGGAUUAGCUAGUUGGUGGGGUAAAGGCCUACCAAGGCGACGAUCCGUAUCUGGGCUGAGAGGAUGAUCAGUCACACUGGAACUGAGACACGGUCCAGACUCCUACGGGAGGCAGCAGUGGGGAAUAUUGGACAAUGGGCGAAAGCCUGAUCCAGCCAUGCAGCGUGUGUGAAGAAGGUCUUCGGGUUGUAAAGCACUUUAAGUGGGGAGGCGGUACCAACAGAAGAAGCACCGGCUAACUCCGUGCCAGCAGCCGCGGUAAUAC